AAAGCUCGUAGUUGAAUUUCGGGAUUGACGUGAUGUCAUGCCUUAAGGGGUAUGAACUGUUACUGUUGAUUUCUCACCUUCUGGAGAAACUUGAUGUCCUUUAUUGGGUGUCUUGCGGAUCCAGGACCUUUACCUUGAAAAAAUUAGAGUGUUUAAAGCAGGCAUUUUUGCUCGAAUACAUUAGCAUGGAAUAAUAGAAUAGGACGGCAUGGUUCUAUUUUGUUGGUUUCUAGGAUCACCGUAAUGAUUAAUAGGGAUAGUUGGGGGCAUUAGUAUUCAAUUGUCAGAGGUGAAAUUCUUGGAUUUAUUGAAGACUAACUACUGCGAAAGCAUUUGCCAAGGAUGUUUUCAUUAAUCAAGAACGAAAGUUAGGGGAUCGAAGACGAUCAGAUACCGUCGUAGUCUUAACCAUAAACUAUGCCGACUAGGAAUCAGACGAUGUUAAUUUUUUAAUGACUCGUUCGGCACCUUAC
rnacentral:rRNA from 1 species